rnacentral:rRNA from 1 species
UACGGAGGGUGCAAGCGUUAUCCGGAUUUACUGGGUUUAAAGGGUGCGUAGGUGGGUAGGUAAGUCAGUGGUGAAAUCUUCGAGCUUAACUCGGAAACUGCCAUUGAUACUAUUUGUCUUGAAUACUUUGGAGGUAAGCGGAAUAUGUCAUGUAGCGGUGAAAUGCUUAGAUAUGACAUAGAACACCAAUUGCGAAGGCAGCUUACUACACAGUCAUUGACACUGAGGCACGAAAGCGUGGGGAUCAAACAGG